rnacentral:rRNA from 1 species
CGUGAGCGGCGGACGGGUGAGUAACGCGUGGGUAACCGUGCCUCAUACAGGGGGAUAACAGUUGGAAACGGCUGCUAAUACCGCAUAAGCGCACAGUACCGCAUGGUACGGUGUGAAAAACUCCGGUGGUAUGAGAUGGACCCGCGUCUGAUUAGGUAGUUGGUGGGGUAACGGCCUACCAAGCCGACGAUCAGUAGCCGACCUGAGAGGGUGACCGGCCGCAUUGGGACUGAGACACGGCCCAA